UGACUCUGGACCACUGGGGUUCUUGGUACAUAUAAUAGAAAAUAAUUUAAACGUGUGUAUGAGGGGGCAAAAUUGCGACGCAUGUAGUCGAGGGGAGAUAUAAAGAAUGUCCAUGUGCUUCUGCCCCUUUCAAUGCUUUAUUCCCUCAAAUCACUCAAUACAAUUUCACUAUAGAUUCUUAAUCAAGAAAACAACAAUCCUUAAUGCUAGGCACUGCAAUAGACAUAAUCAAUUCACAGCAAACAAUUCUAGAUUAAUUCUAAGCAUUGCAAAACACAGUUAAUCAUGACAGGCUAGUGACAGACAUUUCCUCUGCAUGCUAAGUUCAAAUGUCAGAUCAAAAGUCUUAAGGCUUUAAGUCCAGCAGAUGCACACUCACUCAGACCAUGGUGAUCAGGUCUGGAACAAAGGCAGGCUUUUCCUGGCAUGGAGUGGACAACCGGUUGAGGAGAGGGUCGUAGGGAGAAGUUGUAGCUCUCAUCAAGGUCCAGACAGACGGUAGAGUUUGAGAGCAGUGAGAAUCAUGCAAAGAAUUAGGAAACGUUGACAAGUGAUGGGAUAUCAGUCCAGGUCCUCAUCAGGCUCUCCAGCUCGAGUGCAUCCUUAUUUUGGCUGGCUGAUCCCUGUUCAUUAGCUCUAUUAUUUAUAUUAAAUUUUGAGGCUUUCAACCCCCAUUUCAAUCCUUAACUACCACCGGAUUUCUCCAUGACAUCAUUUACCCUGGGAUCAGAAACAUCUGAUCUCGUGGUCUCCACCCUGAUCUUCUCGCUUUUCCCUUUUAUUUGGUGAGGACAGCCUGCCAGAGGCUUCACUCUAUUUAUCUAGGUGAGGGGAAAUAACUUGUUUGAGGCCAUACUGGAGGGAUCUGUUGGAUGUACCUGGUGAGACUGCAGGUUUCAAACUGGAGUUUUUAAAAUGGAGUUGCUUAGGCUCAGGCCUAAGGCCAUUCUCACAGUGUGCCAGUUAAAAACAAAAAGAGGUAUAUUGAAAGCAAAAGCACAUUCAAAGAAGAAUGUGAGCUGUCUCAAGGGUGAGAAACUUUGGGAGUAAGGCAAGUGUAGAUAUUCUGACUGUGGAAAUAGAGAAGUGUUCCCCCUGUGAGCAAACUCCCGGGGGGGGGGGGUAACUGGCACCCCUGAUUCCCACCAUUGGAAUGCCUAGCAGUUUCCCCCUGAGGCUCUUAAGAUAACUACGUAGGGUGUACUACCUGGUUUCCAUAGUAACAUCCUUGGGUGUAAGAGGGUCUGUGUUUGUAUUAACCUGGACCUUAUCUCAGUUAGCUAGCACGCAGGGUUAAAGGAACUGAUUAGAGUGUAGUCAGGUGUGAUGGGUAAUAUGUAACUUUUUUUGAGUUAAUAAACUUGGCAGGAGGGAGGGGCAGACACUUCACUUCUAUCCUUCUUCAUGACUUCACUCCACCUCUGUCUGCCCACUUAUCCUGUGUAUCUGUGUCGUUCUUUUGUGCACCUCUUCAAAGGUAGUCUUCCAUAGGUAGUUCCUUUACAGGCAAGGAAAACAGAAACAGGAACCCCUGGUGUGAGAAUUAAUGUUUAUAAAGGGUCAGAAUAUAUUAAUUGGGUUAUCUUCAUGUUAAUAGAUAUUCUUUCUGCAGCAGCAGACUGUAAUCAGUUUCUGUAUUUGUGAAAACCACAAUUGAGAUUUUAUUGUUGCUGAGGAGAACUUCUGUUCUUCAAAAGCACAACUCCUCUAUUAGGUUACCUUGUUGAUGUGCAGAGAUAGCCUACCAAUUGUGUUCAUUUAGAUUAGCAGUUAGCACAAUUAUGAAUGCAUUAUUUGGAGUUACUUUUGGUAGUUGCCUCAAAUGUUAGAAAAUUUAGGAAAAAAUUGCUAUGGACACAUGAAACUUAUAGGAUUGGGACUGUUUUAUUUUCUUAUGUAUAUAUAGAAUUUAUUGAUUUAUUUACAACUCUAAGCUUAGGCAAGUUUUAACAGUCUGUAUAAUCAAUCCUCUUCACAGGUGCUUAUUUGACAGGUUUAUUUUUUUGACAAGUCAGCUAAUAGUAUUGCAUGACGAGUCCAAUUUUCUGCUUGAAGGGAGAUAAUGGCCAGAAUUCUUUCUAAAUACACACAUCUGGGGGCUGGGGCUGUAGAUCAGUGGUAAAGUGCCUGCCUCACACAUGUGAGGCACUGAAUUCAAUCCUCAGCACCACAUAAAAAUAAAUAAAGAUAUUGUGCCCAUCUACAACUAAAAAGAAUUUUUUUUUUAAAUAUACACAUCUGGGCUGGGGCUGGGGCUCAGCUCACUUGUCUGGCAUGUGUGAGGCACUGGGUUCUAUUCUCAGCACCACGUAAAAACAAAUAAAGGUCUAUCAACAAUGAAAAAAAUAUAUACAUCUGGAGGCUUUGGGAUAUUGUAGUUAAUAUUUGUGGAAUAAUGAGAUUUCCUGUAGUAUUUUAAGGUAGUGAAAUGGACAGACUUCUCAUUUUGAAUGGACCUCAUGUUACUAAGUUCAUUACUUAAACAUCAUUUUGUCAGAUUAACAAUAGUAAUUAGAGGAGGUCUGUAUAGGAAGCAAGUCUAACUAAAAGAUUUGUAAUUAUGACACUAGACCUGGAAACAAAAUUAAAAUAGAAACUGUAAUGCUAUCUUGUACCACACUUUGUACUCUGCAGAAUGGUACCAUUGUUGUGCUAAUGCUGAUGGUCAGUGUUGAGCCUGUCCUUUCCUACCUUAGAGAAAGUCUCUUCUAACCCUUCCCAUCCACCUUCAGUACGGUUCCAUGACCCCAAGAGAGGUUUGUCUCUGGCUUAAAGUCCUCUCAGAGUGAGGCAUUUGCAGUUUGAUAAGAAUGAAAUAGAAGCAACAAGAAGAGAAUCUUGGGCUCCCAUAUCUACUCAGCUACUGACAGCCAUGUCCAGCCACACUGCUGUUAACUUUAAAUUAACUAUCUCUACUUCCCUCUGUGGCCAACUCUCCAUGUUCUAGAUCUCUACAUUCCCUUAGGGACAUCUUUUCAGCAAUUCUCUCCUUCUCUGCUUUGCAUCUUCACCAUUUUUCCAUCUACUAAAUCCAGCUAGCUUUUCACUCACACUGCUCCUCUAAAAUAAAAUAACUUUUGUCAAGCCACCAGUGAUGUUCAUUGUGCAGUGUGAUAGCCAGUUUCUUCCCUGCUCACUGAUUACUCUUAGUAAUCUUUGGUAGUUCCUCCCCAUCUCCCUGACUUCCCAAUAUUGGAGCAUCCCAGGACUGCCUAACUACAUUCAUUCCCUUUGUUAGGUGGCUACUCAGCCAUGAAUGGGUGAGCAGGGUAAACAAACAAACAAACAAACAAAAAACCAUUAAAAGGUAACUGAAAACCACAGGAGCCUUAUCUGACAGACAAAAUAUUAUCUGAACUAUUAGAAGAUGGGAGUUUGGUAUGUUAAAACCUUCCCCAGCCUUUUAAACUACCAGUUUGUGGAUCAUGUUGUCAUUAUCACUUGUCUGGGACCUACCCUCAUCACUGAAAUUAUGGCACAACUCCCAUCACCCUGAUAGUCAAAACAUCAAGACCCUCAUAAAGAAAGCUUGAUGGUGGCUAUUCAGAGAGUAAUAAAUUGAUGAAGGGGGACAGGAAAUUGAGGUAAAAGCAGGGAAACUUGAUAAUAAACCCUUUAAGGGGAUGGGAAUUGAGACAAAAAAACAGGUGCACUCAAUUUUCUCAUAAACAACUCUGAGAACUAUACCAUUCUCUUUUUGAGGCAUUCCAUGCAGUUCUUCUGCUGUCGGAAGGUGGACUUAGGUGGGACUCUGGAAAGUUCCAUUGAACUUCCAAUAAAACUGAAGGGCAUGAGGGGCAGUAUGUUCUUCCUCUCAUCUCUGAGUGCCCACUCUCUUCCUUGAGAGUAUUCCCCUUUUCUCUUUCCCAUCUUUUCUAAUAAAUAACUGUUACUUUGAGCAAAAUGUCUGAAAUCUUUCUGACCUGCUCACAAGAAUUGUGGUGAAGGUUGGGCCUUUGUGUUGCCUCAGUUUCACUGAAGGCCCCAGCCCUGUAACACCUUUGAGUUUAUUAUUCACUUUUGAGACUUUACAUACAGUGAUAUAGAUUAUAUAUUCACUAAAUUCUUGAGAGUCAGCUUGGUGAGAGUAUAGAAAAAUAAAUUCAGCCAACUAAUAUUUUAAAGUUGGUAAGUCUCAUAUUUUAAGAANCUUUUUUUUUUUUUUUUUUUUUAAGAGGAGAGGGAGAGAGAAAGAGAGAGAGAAUUUUUUUUUUAAUUUUUUAUUGUUGGCUGUUCAAAACAUUACAUAGUUCUUGAUAUAUCAUAUUUCACACUUUGAUUCAAGUGGGUUAUGAACUCCCAUUUUUACCCCAUAUACAGAUUGCAGAAUUACAUCAGUUACACAUCCAUUGAUUUACAUAUUGCCAUACUAGUGUCUGUUGUAUUCUGCUGCCUUUCCUAUCCUCUACUAUCCCCCCUCCCCUCCCCUCCCCUCCCCUCUUCUCUCUCUGCUCCCUCUACUGACAUUCGUUUGUCCCCCUUAUAUUAUUUUUCCCCUUCCCCUCACUUCCUCUUGUAUGUACUUUUGUAUAACUCUGAGGGUCUCCUUCCAUUUCCAUGCAUUUUCCCUUCUCUCUCCCUUUCCCUCCCACCUCUCAUCCCUGUUUAAUGUUAAUCUUCUUCUCAUGCUCUUCGACCCUACUCUGUUCUUAGUUACUCUCCUUAUAUCAAAGAAGACAUUUGGCAUUUGUUUUUUAGGGAUUGGCUAGCUUCACUUAGCAUAAUCUGCUCUAAUGCCAUCCAUUUCCCUGUAAAUUCUAUGAUUUUGUCAUUUUUUAAUGCAGAGUAAUACUCCAUUGUGUAUAAAUGCCACAUUUUUUUUAUCCAUUCAUCCAUUGAAGGGCAUCUAGGUUGGUUCCACAGUCUAGCUAUUGUGAAUUGUGCUGCUAUGAACAUCGAUGUAGCAGUGUCCCUGUAGCAUGCUCUUUUUAGGUCUUUAGGGAAUAGACCGAGAAGGGGAAUAGCUGGGUCAAAUGGUGGCUCCAUUCCCAGCUUUCCAAGAAAUCUCCGUACUGCUUUCCAAAUUGGCUGCACCAAUUUGCAGUCCCACCAGCAAUGUACAAGCGUACCCUUUUCCCCACAUCCUCGCCAGCACUUGUUGUUGUUUGACUUCAUAAUGGCUGCCAAUCUAACUGGAGUGAGAUGGUAUCUUAGGGUGGUUUUGAUUUGCAUUUGAGAGAGAGAAUUUUUAAAAUAUUUAUUUAUUUUUUUUUAGUUUUUCGGCGGACACAGCAUCUUUGUUUGUACGUGGUGCUGAGGAUCGAACCCAGGCCGCACGCAUGCCAGUCGAGCGCGCUACCGCUUGAGCCACAUCCCCAGCCCGCAACCCCACUCUUGAUACCACUUUCUGUUUUAGUCAUCUUUGCUGCCAUGAACAAAAGACCUGACAAGAACUAUUAGAAGAGAAAAAGUUUAUUUGAGGGCUCACUGUUUCAGAGGUCUCAGUCCACAGAUGGCUGCCUUCAAUCUUUGAAACCUGAAUUGAGGCAGACCAUUAUGGCAGAAUAGUAUGAUUUGAGAGAAGCAGCUGGGGAUAUGACACCAGGAAGCAGAGAGAGGGAACUUUGUUCACAAGGACAAAAUAUUAUACCCUAAAGGCAUGACCCCAGGUUCCCACCUCCAGCCACACCCUGCUUGCCUAGAGUUGCCAUUCAUUUAAUCCCUAUCAAUGGAUUAAAACAUUUGAUAACCCAAUAAUUUUACCUAUAAACUUUCUGCAUUGUUUUACACAUGAGCCUUUGGGGGACACCUCAUAUACAAACCAUAACACAUUUUUUUCAUAGAUGGUAUAAACAACAAUAUGUUUGACAACCAGAUCUGGUAACCAUGUAAGAAAAUAGGCACUUUUAUAUACUGAUUGUGUUACUAAAAGCUCAGUUCUUAUCUCCAAUGCCAAUCUGAUAAUUAGAACAUGAUUCUGAGAAAAAGGAAAAAGAACUUUUAUUACUUUGUUAGUAAAGGAGAAAUAGAAGUUGUGAUUCUAACUAUCGGGGGAACAGGGGACUUUUAAAGAGGUGAUUCAAAG
rnacentral:lncRNA from 1 species